UAACAAUGUUUUUCCAAACAUUUUUUUUUUAUUAAUUUACAUCAUUUUCAACUAAUUUAAUUAAAAACCUUUUAUAUUACAGCGAACAAAGCCGAUCACAGUAGAGAUUGAUUAAUAGCUGAACAGCAAUUACAUUGUGAAAUUUUACAACUUUGCACUAUAAAUUCUCAAAUAUAUUCACGGAAUCCGUAUAAUCUUCUCUUCUGCGUUCGUUUCACAAACUGUAGGUCGCUGACAUGUGUAAAAAUUCUGCAUUGCAAUCAAUACCCACAGCAAACGUGCAGCGGAGAUAGCUUUCCGUAGUGACGUGAAAAACACCUAAGGGACCGGUCAUAAAGUAACUGCUAGGGCGGGCUGGAGUGAUUUGGGAUGGGCCAUGGAAAAUCUUUGCCCGGCAGUUUCGAUUUUUUUUUAUGUCAAUUUUUUUGUAUGUCCACGGUUGGGCCACCAAACAAAAACUCAUGCAUCUCUACUUCAAAAAUAAAGAUAUUAAUAAUAAAAGUAUAAACAAAACUAUCCAAAUUAUCAAAUGCAAAUGAUGCUAUUGAAGCCAGUACUUUGUUUAUACAACAACAAGAACUGGUCGAAUCACAGCAAAUACAACCAACUGGAGAGCAGCUCAGUAUCGUAAUUGGUGAUGAUUGUGUUGGUCAAGCUUGGUGGAAUUAUGUAUGUCAAUACAGUGCCGGUGUAUAUUUACAAUGUUCAUACCUGCAAGUUUUUUUUAUUAUAAAAGUGUAUAUUUUCCCAAUUUAAAUUGGGUGGGUCAUGAAAAUUUUUUUGUAAGAUUAGAUGGGCUUUGAAAUUUUUAUCUUCAUCCUAAGAUGGGUCACCAAACUUAUUGGCAAAAUUUGUGAUUUACCUCCAGCCCACCCUAGCAGUUACUUUAUGACCAGUCCCUAAUCACCUAUCCGUACAGGUUUUAGGAACGCUAUUUUCAUAGGAAUUAUUGCCAAGGAGAGAUGUUGUUUCGCUCAGCUUCUGAAAGUUGUACAUUCCGUAUCGGAUAGGUGCUUUUUCGCGCCGCUACGGAGCCGGAGGGCUAUUCUGUAUAGUGUAACGUAGUCUAGGUAAAACAGUAGUGUCUGGUGGACUCAGUCCGUUUAAUUCAAUUUCUGGAAAGCAUUAACGCACUAUAUUCUUCAGAUUCCAAAAUAGUUUUAUAUGUGCUUUUAAAGUGCAUCAAUGGCUGCCCAAAGGCACAUUCUGAUCUUCAUUUUCAUUGAAAUUUUUUGUUAUGGUUAUGUGCAUAAUAUAAUCACACCAUGGCCAUUUCUGGUUCGUAAGUGUGUGGCGUAAAUUUCAGCGAACGAGCUGUCUGUCUGUAAACGAAUUGUCUUGCUUGUUCCGUCAAAUAUUUCUGAUCUUCCGUCUGACCACACGCCACUUCUUGAAAGGACUACAUUAAAA
rnacentral:lncRNA from 1 species